UACGGGGGGGGCAAGCGUUGUUCGGAAUUACUGGGCGUAAAGGGCUCGUAGGUGGCCAACUAAGUCAACCGUGAAAUCCCUCGGCUUAACCGGGGAACUGCGUUUGAUACUGGAUGGCUUGAGUUUGGGAGAGGGAUGCGGAAUUCCAGGUGUAGCGGUGAAAUGCUUAGAUAUGACAUAGAACACCAAUUGCGAAGGCAGCUGGCUACACGAAUAUUGACACUGAGGCACGAAAGCGUGGGGAUCAAACAGG
rnacentral:rRNA from 1 species